rnacentral:rRNA from 1 species
AUACGUAGGUGACAAGCGUUAUCCGGAUUUACUGGGCGUAAAGGGCGUGUAGGCGGUCUUGCAAGUCAGAAGUGAAAUUCCUGAGCUCAACUCGGGCGCUGCUUCUGAAACUGCAGGACUUGAGUGCUGGAGGGGAUAGCGGAAUUCCUAGUGGAGCGGUAAAAUGCGCAGAUAUUAGGAAGAACACCGGUGGCGAAGGCGGUUACCGGGACAGUAACUGAGGCUGAGGCGCGAAAGCGUAGUGAGCAACAGGGAUUAGUUCCCCUGGUACCCCACGCCGUAAACGAUGAAUACUAGGUGUAUGGGGUAUCGACUCCCGCUGUGCCGCAGGUAACACAAUAAGUAUUCCGCCUGGGGAGUACGGCAGCAAGGUUGAAACUCAAAGGAAUUGACGGGG